CACCUGGUAAUAACAUGGUUAUAACUUGGUUAUUACCUGGUUAUAACCUGAGACAUUUCCUGGUUAUAACCUGGUUAUAAUCUCGUUAUAACCUGAGACAUUAC